AUUGAACGCUGGCGGCAUGCUUUACACAUGCAAGUCGAACGGUAACAGGGAGCUUGCUCCGCUGACGAGUGGCGAACGGGUGAGUAAUGCAUCGGAACGUACCCAGUCGUGGGGGAUAACGUAGCGAAAGUUACGCUAAUACCGCAUACGUCCUGAGGGAGAAAGCGGGGGACCGUAAGACCUCGCGCGAUUGGAGCGGCCGAUGUCGGAUUAGCUAGUUGGUAGGGUAAAGGCCUACCAAGGCGACGAUCCGUAGCGGGUCUGAGAGGAUGAUCCGCCACACUGGGACUGAGACACGGCCCAGACUCCUACGGGAGGCAGCAGUGGGGAAUUUUGGACAAUGGGCGAAAGCCUGAUCCAGCCAUGCCGCGUGAGUGAAGAAGGCCUCGGUUGUAAGUACGUCUUUCUAGUCAGAACGAAACGGUAGAGGGUUAAGUACCGUUU
rnacentral:rRNA from 1 species